UGAGCCACCACCACCUAGCACUGUUCACCAGCACUGGCACAUGCACACUCGUGUGUAGUCAGCACCACUGUCCUCCCCAGAACCUUCACGUCUGCACGACAGCUCCACAGAUACUGGUGGAUGGCUGCUGUGACCUUUCCGGAGAUGGGACAGAUGGGACAGAUGUUUAACAGCUCAAAACAUCGUGGACCAGAGAGGAUGUGUCAAGCAUUGAGCUUUUUCCCUGCAGCAGAAGCAGCCAAACCCGUGUCAACCAGUUGAUUUUGACUGCUAUAUCCUUCCAGAACCUCACCUGUUAUCCGUUAGCCCUCUGAUCCUCCUCAAGGUCGCCACGCCCUAUAGCGAGUGCUGAGAACAGCUCAAUGCCAUCUCCUGUGUCACAGCCACACUGAAGGGGGACAGAUCGAGUCAGACGAGACUUGAGACAAACCGCACGUGUCUCAUGGCUUCAAUUCUUACUCAGAGCUCUGAGGACCGGAGCUUCAGCGGAGAAGCUCUCGACUCACCCUGAGUGAGUCACACCUCAUUCCCAGCAGCCUCAGCCUAGGACAAACGGUUCAGUGACCAUCUACUGCUAUAAAAAUAAAGAACAAAACCACACACUGCACUUAAAUCACGAUGGAAGCCAAGUUUCUCCUGAAAAUGGAGCAAUCGCAGCUAACAAGGUCUCAAAUGAGCUCACUUAUUAAUUUUUAAACGCAAGCCUUUCUACAGCAAAUCGGGCGAAUGCAAUGGCUGAGUUGAUGCAGAUGCCCAGAGCUCCCCUUUCUAACCUCUCCCACUGUCUGGAAGUGUACCCCUUCCCUCCCGACAGGCCCCGUGACACUGGCAGCAUGUGGAUCUGAUCUUUGUUAGUGUCACCUUGUGUCCCAAUAGCAGAUAAGCCCCAGAAGACAGCAGUCUCCAGCAGCCAGAGAAGCACACGGCCAGGAAUGCUGGGCCAACAGCCUGUACAUGUUCUCCAGCUUGCAGAAAGCCUGAGUUCCCGUAGCAGUCACAGACGGGUGGGCCACUCAAGUGGCAUCCUUAGAGGGCACAGCUCAGUCCCUAUCCAGCUUUACCACUUGGAAAACAUGGGAUCCUUGAAUGCUUGGUCAACUGUGGCUUAGGUGUCAUGCUCAUGAGAAUUCUGGAUU